rnacentral:rRNA from 1 species
AACGAACGCUGGCGGCAGGCUUAACACAUGCAAGUCGAACGGGUGUAGCAAUACAUCAGUGGCAGACGGGUGAGUAACACGUGGGAACCUUCCUAGGAGUACGGAACAACUCAGGGAAACUUGAGCUAAUACCGUAUACGUCCGUGAGGAGAAAGAUUUAUCGCCCUUAGACGGGCCCGCGUCGGAUUAGGUAGUUGGUGGGGUAACGGCCUACCAAGCCGACGAUCCGUAGCUGAUCUGGGAGGAUGAUCAGCCACACUGGGACUGAGACACGGCCCAGACUCCUACGGGAGGCAGCAGUGGGGAAUCUUGGACAAUGGGCGCAAGCCUGAUCCAGCCAUGCCGCGUGAGUGAAGAAGGCCUUAGGGUUGUAAAGCUCUUUUGGCAGGGACGAUAAUGACGGUACCUGCAGAAUAAGCCCCGGCAAACUUCGUGCCAGCCGCCGCAGUAACAC